UCCGUAGGGGUGACCUGCGGAGGGAUCAUUGCUGGAACGCGCUUCGGCGCACCCAGAAACCCUUUGUGAACUUAUACCUAUUGUUGCCUCGGCGCAGGCCGGCCUCUUCACUGAGGCCCCCUGGAGACAGGGAGCAGCCCGCCGGCGGCCAACCAAACUCUUGUUUCUACAGUGAAUCUCUGAGUAAAAAACAUAAAUGAAUCAAA
rnacentral:misc_RNA from 1 species